UGGGGAAUUUUGGACAAUGGGCGAAAGCCUGAUCCAGCAAUGCCGCGUGUGUGAAGAAGGCCUUCGGGUUGUAAAGCACUUUUGUCCGGAAAGAAAUCCUUGGCUCUAAUCCAGUCGGGGGAUGACGGUACCGGAAGAAUAAGCACCGGCUAACUACGUGCCAGCAGCCGCGGUAAUACGUAGGGUGCAAGCGUUAAUCGGAAUUACUGGGCGUAAAGCGUGCGCAGGCGGUUUGCUAAGACCGAUGUGAAAUCCCCGGGCUCAACCUGGGAACUGCAUUGGUGACUGGCAGGCUAGAGCAUGGCAGAGGGGGGUANAAUUCCACGUGUAGCAGUAAAUGCGUAGAGAUGUGGAGGAAUACCGAUGGCGAAGGCAGCCCCCUGGGCCAAUACUGACGCUCAUGCACGAAAGCGUGGGGAGCAAACAGGAUUAGAUACCCUGGUAGUCCACGCCCUAAACGAUGUCAACUAGUUGUUGGGGAUU
rnacentral:rRNA from 1 species